UUGUUCCUUUCCUGCGUUUGGGAUGCAAAAUGAAAGGUAAUCAUUUACUGAAGGAAGGGAAAAUAAGGGGGAAAGUGGUUCCUUCCAAACCCCAAAGGAAUCACUUUCCCUCCUUCUUUCCUUGCAUUUAUUACUCACAACAUAUUAUUUUAUUACAUUAUUUACAAACUUUUCAACAACUUUUCUGAUAACUUUCCUUACGUUACCAAACAUCGGAAUGGAAAGUUGUUGGGAAAUUUCAUUUCCCUUCCAAUGGAAAAGACAAAGGAAUUACUUUCCUUUCCGUGAACCAAACGAGGCCAAAAGCUUCUCAAUUCCCAACUGCCAAGAUAUUGGGUUCACCUUUUCACAAAAGACCUUUGAAGUUAUGUCCAUCUCUUCUACAGACUGAUCGCAAUUUGAUACCUAUACUUCUGGAAUCCAAUAGGGUUCAUCCUUUUAGGUUUGGCAGGUCUCAGUACAGUUUAAGUUGUUGAUGCUUAUUGAAUUUGUGCAAUGACACCCGAACGCCGUCGAUGGCGUCUUUCACGCUGCGAAAGACAACGUAUAAAUUAUCAAUGAGCCGUUUGUACAAGAUGAUAUGAUUAAGAUCCCAGAUCCAUUGGUUAUUCCUUGGGUUGGUGAUGAAUCUCUUGGCCAACUAAUUGCUUCUAUAUAUCCAGGUUUAGAGGACAAUGCAUUUGAUAGGUUUUAUAUGGUGGAUAGAGCUAUUAUAACGCCUAGGAUGAGGAUGUGGACAAGCUAAAUGAAGUGGUAUUGAAUUCCUUUCCAGGUGAAGAUCAAAUUUAUUAUUCUUUUGAUAGAGUUGAAGAUGACCCUCACAGCUUAUAUCAACAAGAAUUCCUAAAUUCUAUAGCUCCAGGUGGUUUGCCCUCUCAUAAGUUAGCUUUGAAAUUGGGUGCACCCAUAAUGCUGCUUAGAAUUAUUGAUCCAAAAAGUGGGCUAUGCAACGGGACAAGGUUAAUAUGUCGCGGGUUCUUUCCGAACUUUAUUGAUGCAGAGAUUCUCACCGGCCAUUUCAAGGGUACAAGAGUUUUCCUAUGACGAAUUCCUCUUAAGCCUUCAGAAAAUGUGAAGCUUCCGUUCUCUCUCAUACGUCGGCAGUUUCCUAUUAGAUUAAGCUUUGCACUAACAAUAAAAAAAGCUCAAGGUCAAACAAUUCCAAAUGUUGGUGUGUACCUCCCUAAUCACGUCUUCAGCCAUGGCCAGCUUUAUCAAGGGGACUAUCCAUACAAACAACCAAGGUCCUAAUCAAGAAUAGUGCCAUUGAAGAAGAACCUGGAGCUCACACAAGGAAUGUUGUAUUUAAAGAUGUUCUAACGUCAUGCCAAAGGCAAUGAGAUGAUGACCAUUGAUCCUAUAAUAAGACAGUUCAAUUUGAUGCCACAGCUUCAAAAUGAGAAUAUGGAACAAGGGGUAACACUAUUUCAAUUUAUCAAUUCCAUGCAUCAUGCUCGACAAAGUCUUCCAUGACUUGGAUUCAAAUUUAGUUAGGAUUAUAAUCUACUUUUAUCUCCCCAUUCUUUAUUGCAAGCCCACUUUAAUUUUGUGAGCUACUCAUAUAGUCAUAUGAGAUCAUCUUUGGGACUCACUGGUGAUGAUAUAGUACGAUUGGGCUAAAACAGUAAAGUGAAAUUUGUGUAGUUGCUGUUUUUCUUUUUCCUUUUUUGACAAUUUUUUUGUUCUUAAAUUGAUAACAUGUAUGGUAUUUAUUGAUUUUAUGUUAGUGUAUUGGAAAUUUAUAUGUUACAAGUUGUCACUUGGAUUGAAUUAAAUUGUAAGCUGUAUACCGUAUUCGAAUUCAAAUAUUUAUUUUUGAAUAUUUGAAAUUACAAGCGAGCGACUUAUGAUUGAAAAAA